UGCCUGUCGGACUGCCUCGGGGCGGGCGGGUUGGUGGCCCGCCUCGGCGGCGACGAGUUCGUCCUCGUGGCGGGCGG
rnacentral:tRNA from 1 species